CCGUGCUAGACGGGGAGGCAGCGGUGCCCUGUAACUCGCAAUCCGCUAUAGCGAGGUUGAAUUCCUUUUGCGAGGUCCCGGCGUUGUAAGGCAGCCUUGGGCACGUGGUGUUGACGUUUGGGUCCUGCGCAACGGAAACUCAUGAACCCUGUCAGGUCCGGAAGGAAGCAGCAGUAAGUGAGACCUUUCGUGUGCCGCGGGGCUGCCUGGAUUGAGCUAACGACUCAAGAAGCGCUUAUGAGGUCUGGAUCGACCAAAGGUGCACGG
rnacentral:SRP_RNA from 1 species